GGGUUCACAUCUGGAAAGGAGUAAUGCAAAGUAUUGGAUUUUUUUUUACACAUUUACCUUGUUGAUAUAUUCUUAGUACAAAAUACUCUGCAUAGUUGGUGCCUAUCAACACAUAAUUUACAACAUAAUUACACACAUCAAAGCUCACUACAUUCCAUUGUUAAUUAGGCUAAAAUAAUUGCUAAAAUGAUUUGCAUAAUUAUUUCCCCUUUUACUGUAAACAUGUUAAUAAGAAAACGUUGUUUUUUAACUCCAUCACUUCAUCGUUGAUUGUGUCUGGAAAAUAGUGUUAUUUAGGCUUUUCUAAUAAUCGAAUUACACUUUUAGAUACGAUAUAUUGUUCUUAAAUUAAGAACAAAUACCGCAAUAAUUAACCUCGUUGAUUUCGACAGGAUAACAUUAGGGCCAACAGAUAAAUGUCAACAAAAAUGAAAAUUAUAAUAGUCGCAUUGAUGGUAGCAUUUAUAGUUGUUAUACAAAGCCAAGGUCAGAAAUGUAAACGCUACGGAAGAACAUGUAGGGACACACCACCAUUCAAGAACAAAAUGGGACAAUGCGCACAAAGUGGACGAAAUAUGAGAUGUGCAAGAAUUGGUAGAAGCUGUCGGUGCAAGUCAACAACAAUCCUGAAUUUCGCUCCAAAUUUCAAAGAUUCAAAGCGGCCAUUUCCAAGAUUUGAAGCGAUGUUAGAUAUCAACUUGAAACUGAACGACAAUGAAAGAUCUAAUGGUAAUGUCACUGACUAUUAAUGAGUAACAACAGGCUAUGACGGGUAAUACAUUCAUUAAUCCAAAAUGUUUUGAGUACGUGUUUUUCAUUCCGUCAAUCAAUUUAUUUACAAAUUAAUAAAACAACAACGAAAACAAGACAAUUGUAGAAAAUCACAAGAAGUAUGAACGAAAUAGCAAAAAUUAAAACUUUUCUGGUCAUAUCAACUUGUUAUCCGUAUAAAUAUGUAUUUACUUUAAAUAGUUAUAUAAACCAUCAGGAAUGUUAUUCGUUUUGUUCUUUCAUUGUAAUAAUGAAAAUCAUCAAAUAGUUUGAAAAAUAUAUUUUUUGUUUAAAUUCU